GAUGAACGCUGGCGGCGUGCCUAAUACAUGCAAGUCGAGCGAACAGACGAGGAGCUUGCUCCUCUGACGUUAGCGGCGGACGGGGGAGUAACACGAGGAUAACAUACCUAUAAGACUGGGAUAACUUCGGGAAAACGGAGCUAAUACCGGAGAAUAUUUUGAACCGCAUGGUUCAUUAGUGAAAGACGGUUUUGCUGUCACUGAUAGAUGGAUCCGCGCCGCAUUAGCUAGUUGGUAAGGUAACGGCUUACCAAGGCAGCGAUGCGUAGCCGACCUGAGAGGGUGAUCGGCCACACUGGAAGUGAGACACGGUCCAGACUCCUACGGGAGGCAGCAGUAGGGAAUAUUCCGCAAUGGGCGAAAGCCUGACGGAGCAACGCCGCGUGAGUGAUGAAGGUCUUCGGAUCGUAGAACUCUGUUAUUAGGGAAGAACAAAUGUGUAAGUAACUAUGCACGUCUUGACGGUACCUAAUCAGAAAGCCACGGCUAACUACGUG
rnacentral:rRNA from 1 species